GAUGAACGCUAGCGGGAGGCCUAAUACAUGCAAGUCGAGCGGUAGAGUGACUUCGGUUGCUUGAGAGCGGCGCACGGGUGAGUAACGCGUACAUGACCUACCUUUAAGACUGGGAUAGCCCUGGGAAACUGGGAUUAAUACCGGAUGUGAUAGUACGUAUAGAGAUGUAUUAUUAAAGUUGAGGCGCUUAGAGAUGGAUGUGCGUCUGAUUAGCUAGUUGGUAGGGUAACGGCCUACCAAGGCUACGAUCAGUAGGGGCGUGAGAGCGUGGCCCCCCACACGGGUACUGAGACACGGACCCGACUCCUACGGGAGGCAGCAGUAAGGAAUAUUGGUCAAUGGACGGAAGUCUGAACCAGCCAUCCCGCGUGCAGGAUGACUGCCCUAUGGGUUGUAAACUGCUUUUAGCAGAGACGAAACGCCUUCAUUUAUGAGGGUCUGACGGUAUCUGCAGAAUAAGCACCGGCUAACUCCGUGCCAGCAGCCGCGGUAAU
rnacentral:rRNA from 1 species